CCUACGGGGGGCAGCAGUGGGGAAUAUUGGACAAUGGGGGGAACCCUGAUCCAGCCAUGCCGCGUGUGUGAAGAAGGCCCUCGGGUUGUAAAGCACUUUCAGUGAGGAAGAACGCCUGGUGGUUAAUACCCAUCAGGAAAGACAUCACUCACAGAAGAAGCACCGGCUAACUCCGUGCCAGCAGCCGCGGUAAUACGGAGGGUGCGAGCGUUAAUCGGAAUUACUGGGCGUAAAGCGCGCGUAGGUGGCUUGAUAAGCCGGUUGUGAAAGCCCCGGGCUCAACCUGGGAACGGCAUCCGGAACUGUCAAGCUGGAGUGCAGGAGAGGAAGGUAGAAUUCCCGGUGUAGCGGUGAAAUGCGUAGAGAUCGGGAGGAAUACCAGUGGCGAAGGCGGCCUUCUGGACUGACACUGACACUGAGGUGCGAAAGCGUGGGUAGCAAACAGGAUUAGAUACCCCAGUAGUC
rnacentral:rRNA from 1 species